AUCAAAAUAGUAUGUGAGGCUGGGAAGGCCACAGGGCUCUCAGCUUAUGCUCUGAGUCCUACAAAGAAUGCUGUUAAUUCACUGAUGUCACGCAUCUGAUGCCUGUGAGUCACUCACCCACUCAGCUGGCUCGGAUUGAGACCUACUUUAUACCAGCUGCCGAUCCAAGUGCUGGGGAGACCCCAGUGGGAGCCUGGAUCACGGCAUCACUGUCCUUCUUCAUUUGCUCCCAGAAUCCUCCUCAAGAAGUCCACAUGGAAUUUGGAGUGUGGAGGCAGCCAAUACACCAGAUCUCCCGGCUAAGUCACAAAUCUGCCCUUAAAGAAUGUGAUGUAGAAACACGAGGAGAAGUAUUUGACAAACAGGAACAAGAACACCUUCAUGGCUAUGUUUUUCUCAUAGUCAGUCUGGUCCUUGGGAGCUCUGCAGCUAGAAUAAAGAAAAGUUAAUUCUGUAAAACUGUGAACAGCUUUGAGACCCUCAUCAAAGCCACGGACACAUGAGUUAACACGAUGAGGAAGUGGAGCCACGUGGAGAUGAUGCAAUUUGCCCCAAAUGAAGCAACUAUUAAGUGAAAGAACUGAAAUACACAAAGAGUCCAAAGACACACUAACUGUAGAGCACUGUCUCCUACAUUGUCAGUGAAAUCAAUUCUAAUUCAUUUCAGAACUUUUACAAACUUGAAUCAUUUCCAUUUUUCUUCCAAGCACUUAAUGGGUUCAAUAUUUCUAAAGAAACAGGAAAGCUUUCCAUUCUCCUUCCUCAAGUUUCUUCUUACUUAUCAUCUUUUCCGAUCAUAACUUUAAUAUUUGCUCAUUAAAGAAAAUUUGAAAGUACUCAGUAGUGGACAGAACUGCUGUCCUGGAUCUGUCCCCAGUCUUAGAAGAGGACCCAGAUUUUGCUUUAGGAUAACUAACCUCCCUUCUGUUUUUAGUCCUGUGAUUUAAGCUCAAUUGACCCCACUCUUUCUGAAGCACCAGAGGUAGAUCUCAGUUGGUUUUAGACAAACAAUACCCCUCAAUCUAUUGGCCUCGCACAUGAUAUGAGAAUUGGCAAAUAACCCAGUAAGAGCCACUAUUAUGUGAGGAGAUACGUGCUGGUGCCCAUGUGAAUGAUAAGCUUCCUCUAUCAAGAGAGGAAGCUGCCAAAAGAGAGCUCUCUUUGUUUGGAUGGAUGUGUGAUCUUGGAUGCUGAGUGCCUAGAAGCAGCGUGCUGAGACAUCCUUGGACACAGAAUGAAGACAGGACAAAAGCAGCCCUUGACAUCAUCUGGGCUACAGUAUCUCUCCUUGACUGAAGCCAGACCUCAGAACUGAGGUUUUCAUUUACAGGAACCAAUAAAUUCCAUGCAUCCCCAUUUUUUGGUUGUUGUUUAAACACAUUGGAGAUUGAUUUUGUCACCUACAAUCAAAAGACUCCAACUCUGAAAACGAAUAAGAAAUAAAAUGAGAAAAAUGCUUCCACCUUUAGACAUAAUUCCUUCAGAACUGUGCAUUGUUUGUAUAUUACAAAUCAUUUUAUAUAUUAAUUUUAUUCUCAAGCCUAACAUAAGUAUAACACUUUGACAUGUCAUAAAAUAUUUUCAUGGACACAGUUUUUCAUGGCUGCAUAUUAUUCUACUAUGUGAAGGUUUGGAAGAAUAUUUUGGCUGAGAUUUUAUAUAUAUAUACAUAUAAAUGUAUGUCUGUGACUUGCAUCCAUACUGACUUUUCCCUGCCAUUUUGAAAUACUUCCUGAUUAAAAGUUUUUCAAAGCUGAAUUAGUGGAUUAAAGCAUAUGAAUAUUUUUUACUCUUGAUAUGAAAUGCCGGACUGCUUUCUAAGAAGGUUGGAUGUGUACAGCAGAAAUUAACACAGCAUUGUAAAUUAACCAUACUUCACAAAAAAUAUCCAGUAACCUAGGCAUGGGAUUGGUGAUCACUGGCACUUCAUCCUCAUAAACAGAGCUGUGUCACUUGAGAGGUGGAAAACUAUUUCAUUUUGAUGUGCACUGACUGAAUUACCAUUGGGGUGUGACAUCUAUUUUUCCCUUUGUGAAUGUGUGUUCAUCUUCUCUGACUUCCACGCCCCUGAGAUUUUUUCAUGUUAUCUUUGAAGUGAUCUGAACUCUCUAUGUAUUGAAGGAAUUAGCCCCUUGUCGGAUUUGUAAACAAGUAACAUCCUCUGGUGCUUUGCUUAAAAUUAGGAUGCUUCUGAUGCAUGGAAUUCUUUAUAUAUAUUCCUCUGAAAAUUACUGUUCAUCUAGAGGUUGUAUAUUCAUCCAUAUUUAUUUCUAGUUUUUUUCUAAUUGUGUUGCUUUUUAAAUGUUUAUGGAAUUUAUCACAGUAUAUGGUUCACAGUAUGAUUUCAAUCUUUUCUUUUCCCCCCAAGUAGCUAACAAGUGUUCCAUUUACUGAAUAACCUUUAUUUAUCUCCCUGAUUUGUAAUGUCUUCCAUCUCUUAUAUUAAAUUAUUAUUGAUAUCAGAGCCCAUAUCUGGACUUCCUGUCCUAUUUUCUAAUCUGGCUAUUCUUGAACUAGUAAAACGCUCAUUAUCUUAUUAAUUAUUAUAUUACUAAU